AAUAUUGGACAAUGGGCGAAAGCCUGAUCCAGUCAUGCCGCGUGUGUGAAGAAGGUCUUCGGAUUGUAAAGCAUUUUAAGUUGGGAGGAAGGGCAGUAAGUUAAUACCUUGCUGUUUUGUCGUCACCGACAUAAUAAGUACCGGCGAACUUCGUGACAUCAUCCGCGGUAAUACGAAGGGUGCAAUCGUUAAUCGUAAUUACUGGGCUUAAAGCGCGCGUAGGUGGUUUGAUAAGUUGGAAGUGAAAGCCCCGGGCUCAACCUGGGAACUGCUUUCAAAACUGGCAAGCUAGAGUAUGGCAGAGGGUGGUAGAAUUUCCUGUGUAGCGGUGAAAUGCGUAGAUAUAGGAAGGAACACCAGUGGCGAAGGCGACCACCUGGGCUAAUACUGACACUGAGGUGCGAAAGCGUGGGGAGCAAACA
rnacentral:rRNA from 1 species